GGACAGUGACGUGGACAUCACUCUUCUGGCGAAAGCAGACCACGGGGAUGAUCUGGGAUUGCUCAACCACGUGGCAGGCACAUUGAAAAGAUCAGGAAACUGGAACGCCGAGUGCCACCCGACGCCAGUC